UAUUGGUCCUCCCGCAAUGAUAGAUUGUGAACCUGGUCAGGCCCGGAAGGGAGCAGCCACAGCAGUCAAAUCAUGUGCCGGGAUGUGGCUGGUAGGG
rnacentral:SRP_RNA from 1 species